GCUAGAAGAAGACACCAUUGAAGAGACACAGCACUAUGAUCAUGCUUACUUGUUUUUUAUGCUUAUUUAUUAAGCACUGGGGCCAAGGAAUCACAGUGACUAUCUUCUAAGGCAAGUCUGACUACUAGCCUCCUGCCAUAUGCUGUCAAAGGAUAUAUGGAACUGGGCAUGAAAAGCCAUCUUCAGCUCUCCCAUCUGCACCAAAUCUCUUCUCCCUCUCACCCUGUUUGAAUUCUGGAGUCGAAGAUGCCCCUGUGGCUGUGGGUUGUUUGGCGAAGGAUUUUCUACCUGAUUCCAUUAACUUCUCCUGGACCUACCAAAACCAAAGUGCUGUAAGUCACACAGAUUUAAAGAUCUUCCCAUCUCAAAUGAGUGGCCCAACAUACACAGCCACCUCCCAAGUGAUCCUCCCUGCCUUGGAUGUCCUUCAAGACAGUUACUUGGUAUGUAAGGCCAGCCAUCUCAACAGCAACAAGCAAGUUCAAGUUUCCCUCCCAGAUACCACCAGCAGUUCCCCUAAUGUGACUGUGUACAUCCCACCCCGUGAUGCAUUCUCCAACUCUGGCCUACGAAAAUCCAAGCUCAUCUGUCAAGUCACUGACUUCAGACCAAGGGAGAUCAAGUUAACAUGGCUUCGAGAGGGGAGGCCAGUUUCAUCAGGCUUCUCUACAGGUCAAGUCCUACCUGAUGGUUCUGGAACCUACUUCCUGCAGAGCAGUCUGACUAUUAAUGAGAGUGACUGGCUCAGCCAGAGCACAUUCACUUGCCGAGUAGAUCACCUCAAUGCCCAAUUCCAGAAGAAUGUUUCCUCAAGCUGUGCCAUCAGCACAGAUUCACCCAUUGAAGCUUUUGCCAUUCCCCCCUCCUUUGCAAGUAUCUUUGUUACUAAAUCAGCCAAAUUAACCUGUGUAGUCACAAACCUGCCCACCUAUGACAGUUUGAGCAUUUCCUGGACUCGUAAGGAUGGACAGCUUCUGAAAACUAAAGUUAAAGUAUCUAGCAGCCACCCCAAUGGUACCUUUACUGCUGAGGGAGAAGCCACAGUCUGUGCAGAGGAAUGGAAUUCAGGGGAAGCAUUUAAAUGCAUCGUGACUCAUUCUGAUCAUCCUGUUCCCUUGAAGAAAGAAAUCUUCAAGCCACAGGAAGUUGACCUGCAUGCCCCAUCUGUCUACCUGUUACCUCCAAAUCCUGAGGAGCUGAGCCUGAGGGAAUCAGCUACUGUAACCUGCAUGAUGAAAGACUUCUCCCCACCAGAUGUGUUUGUCCAAUGGAUGCACAAAGGGCAGCCCAUACCCUCAGAGAAAUAUGUCACCAGCAGCCCCCAUCAGGAUCCCCAGAAAGGUGGUCGCUACUUCUCCUACAGUAUCCUGACAGUGUCAGAGGCACAGUGGAAUUCAGGGGAUCCUUUCACCUGUGUGGUAGCUCAUGAAGCAUUGCCCUUGUCAUCAACGGAGAGGACCGUGGACAAGUCCACUGAAGGGGAAGUGAAUGCUGAAGAAGAAGGAUUUGAGAAUCUGUGGACAACAGCCUCAACUUUCAUUGUCCUCUUUCUGCUGAGUCUUUUUUACAGUACGACAGUCACUCUAUUCAAGGUAAAAUAAAUUCAUCCUUGAAAAACAAGCAUAUGAAAACAAAGAUCCUAGACCAAAAGAAGAGAUAAUUCCUUGAAGCCUUGACCCAAGCUUCCUAAAUGAUGAUAUUCACCCUUUCAACAAUUCUUGGAAGCCUAAGAGGCUCCAAAGCAUAUGGAGGUGGUAAAGAGGGAAGGAACUUUUUAUAUACAUGUGGUUUUCCUAUAUCCUCUUAAUACUUUAUAUAUAACUCAUCUCUUUCAUUUUCCUUCAUGUCUAACUUCCUAAAAUUAGGAUUUAAAAGAAAAAUAAUGCAUAUUCCUAAACCCAACCAAUGUAUUUUACUAGUUAACUUGUAAACCACAAGAUCUUUCUGAAAUAAAUAAAUUUAUGUAUAUAUAUA